UCCGGAAUCAUUGGGCGUAAAGCGUCUGUAGGUUGUUUAAUAAGUCUGUUGUUAAAGACUAGGGCUCAACCCUAGAAAAGCAAUGGAAACUACUAGACUUGAGUAUGGCAGGGGUAGAGGGAAUUUCUAGUGUAGCGGUGAAAUGCGUAGAUAUUAGAAAGAACACCAGCGGCGAAAGCGCUCUACUGGACCAUUACUGACACUCAGAGACGAAAGCUAGGGUAGCAAAAGGGAUUAGAUACCCCUGUAGUCCUAGCCGUAAACGAUGGAUACUAGAUGUUGUGUUUAAUAUGCAGUAUCGUAGCUAACGCGUUAAGUAUCCCGCCUGGGGAGUACGCUCGCAAGGGUGAAACUCAAAGGAAUUGACGGGGGCCCGCACAAGCGGUGGAGCAUGUGGUUUAAUUCGAUGCAACGCGAAGAACCUUACCAGGACUUGACAUACUACAAAUUUCUUCGAAAAAAGGAAGUGCCUUCGGGAAUGUAGAUACAGGUGGUGCAUGGCUGUCGUCAGCUCGUGUCGUGAGAUGUUGGGUUAAGUCCCGCAACGAGCGCAACCCUUAUUUUUAGUUACUAAUUAAUUAGGUUUUCUAGAAAGACUGCCGGUGACAGACCGGAGGAAGGUGAGGAUGACGUCAAGUCAGCAUGCCCCUUAUGUCCUGGGCUACACACGUGCUACAAUGGUUAAAACAAAGGGUCGCGAGCUCGUGAGAGUCAGCUAAUCCCAUAAAUUUAGCCUAAGUUCAGAUUGUAGGCUGC
rnacentral:rRNA from 1 species